rnacentral:rRNA from 1 species
UGGGGGAUAUUGCACAAUGGAGGAAACUCUGAUGCAGCAACGCCGCGUGAGGGAAGAAGGUCUUCGGAUUGUAAACCUCAGUAGUCAGGGACGAAAGAAAUGACGGUACCUGAAGAGUAAGCUCCGGCUAACUACGUGCCAGCAGCCGCGGUAAUACGUAGGGAGCGAGCGUUGUCCGGAUUUACUGGGUGUAAAGGGUGCGUAGGCGGGAUAGCAAGUCAGACGUGAAAUACCGAGGCUUAACUUCGGGGCUGCGUUUGAAACUGUUAUUCUUGAGUGAAGUAGAGGCAGGCGGAAUUCCUAGUGUAGCGGUGAAAUGCGUAGAUAUUAGGAGGAACACCAGUGGCGAAGGCGGCCUGCUGGGCUUUAACUGACGCUGAGGCACGAAAGAAUGGGGAGCAAACA